rnacentral:rRNA from 1 species
GGGUUGUGAGGUUAAGCGACUAAGCGUACACGGUGGAUGCCCUGGCAGUCAGAGGCGAUGAAGGACGUGCUAAUCUGCGAUAAGCGUCGGUAAGGUGAUAUGAACCGUUAUAACCGGCGAUUUCCGAAUGGGGAAACCCAGUGUGAUUCGUCACACUAUCAUUACGUGAAUACAUAGCGUAAUGAAGCGAACCGGGGGAACUGAAACAUCUAAGUACCCCGAGGAAAAGAAAUCAACCGAGAUUCCCCCAGUAGCGGCGAGCGAACGGGGAGCAGCCCAGAGUCUGAAUCAGCUUGUGUGUUAGUGGAACGGUCUGGAAAGUCCGACGGUACAGGGUGAUAGUCCCGUACACCAAAAUGCACAGGUUGUGAACUCGAAGAGUAGGGCGGGACACGUGGUAUCCUGUCUGAAUAUGGGGGGACCAUCCUCCAAGGCUAAAUACUCCUGACUGACCGAUAGUGAACCAGUACCGUGAGGGAAAGGCGAAAAGAACCCCGGCGAGGGGAGUGAAAAGAACCUGAAACCGUGUACGUACAAGCAGUGGGAGCCUCUUUAUGGGGUGACUGCGUACCUUUUGUAUAAUGGGUCAGCGACUUAUAUUCUGUAGCAAGGUUAACCGUAUAGGGGAGCCGAAGGGAAACCGAGUCUUAACUGGGCGUUAAGUUGCAGGGUAUAGACCCGAAACCCGGUGAUCUAGCCAUGGGCAGGUUGAAGGUUGGGUAACACUAACUGGAGGACCGAACCGACUAAUGUUGAAAAAUUAGCGGAUGACUUGUGGCUGGGGGUGAAAGGCCAAUCAAACCGGGAGAUAGCUGGUUCUCCCCGAAAGCUAUUUAGGUAGCGCCUCGUGAACUCAUCUUCGGGGGUAGAGCACUGUUUCGGCUAGGGGGUCAUCCCGACUUACCAACCCGAUGCAAACUGCGAAUACCGAAGAAUGUUAUCACGGGAGACACACGGCGGGUGCUAACGUCCGUCGUGAAGAGGGAAACAACCCAGACCGCCAGCUAAGGUCCCAAAGUCAUGGUUAAGUGGGAAACGAUGUGGGAAGGCACAGACAGCCAGGAUGUUGGCUUAGAAGCAGCCAUCAUUUAAAGAAAGCGUAAUAGCUCACUGGUCGAGUCGGCCUGCGCGGAAGAUGUAACGGGGCUAAACCAUGCACCGAAGCUGCGGCAGCGACACUAUGUGUUGUUGGGUAGGGGAGCGUUCUGUAAGCCGUUGAAGGUGGCCUGUGAGGGUUGCUGGAGGUAUCAGAAGUGCGAAUGCUGACAUAAGUAACGAUAAUGCGGGUGAAAAACCCGCACGCCGGAAGACCAAGGGUUCCUGUCCAACGUUAAUCGGGGCAGGGUGAGUCGACCCCUAAGGCGAGGCCGAAAGGCGUAGUCGAUGGGAAACAGGUUAAUAUUCCUGUACUUGGUGUUACUGCGAAGGGGGGACGGAGAAGGCUAUGUUAGCCGGGCGACGGUUGUCCCGGUUUAAGCAUGUAGGCGGAGGUUCCAGGUAAAUCCGGUACCUUUUAACGCUGAGGUGUGAUGACGAGGCACUACGGUGCUGAAGUAACAAAUGCCCUGCUUCCAGGAAAAGCCUCUAAGCAUCAGGUAACAUGAAAUCGUACCCCAAACCGACACAGGUGGUCAGGUAGAGAAUACCAAGGCGCUUGAGAGAACUCGGGUGAAGGAACUAGGCAAAAUGGUGCCGUAACUUCGGGAGAAGGCACGCUGAUAUGUAGGUGAAGUGAUUUACUCAUGGAGCUGAAAUCAGUCGAAGAUACCAGCUGGCUGCAACUGUUUAUUAAAAACACAGCACUGUGCAAACACGAAAGUGGACGUAUACGGUGUGACGCCUGCCCGGUGCCGGAAGGUUAAUUGAUGGGGUUAUCCGUAAGGAGAAGCUCUUGAUCGAAGCCCCGGUAAACGGCGGCCGUAACUAUAACGGUCCUAAGGUAGCGAAAUUCCUUGUCGGGUAAGUUCCGACCUGCACGAAUGGCGUAAUGAUGGCCAGGCUGUCUCCACCCGAGACUCAGUGAAAUUGAACUCGCUGUGAAGAUGCAGUGUACCCGCGGCAAGACGGAAAGACCCCGUGAACCUUUACUAUAGCUUGACACUGAACACUGGUCCUUGAUGUGUAGGAUAGGUGGGAGGCUUUGAAGUGUGGACGCCAGUCUGCAUGGAGCCAUCCUUGAAAUACCACCCUUUAAUGGCUGGUGUUCUAACGUGGACCCGUUACCCGGGUUGCGGACAGUGUCUGGUGGGUAGUUUGACUGGGGCGGUCUCCUCCUAAAGAGUAACGGAGGAGCACGAAGGUUAGCUAAUCCUGGUCGGACAUCAGGAGGUUAGUGCAAAGGCAUAAGCUAGCUUGACUGCGAGAGUGACGGCUCGAGCAGAUGCGAAAGCAGGUCUUAGUGAUCCGGUGGUUCUGAAUGGAAGGGCCAUCGCUCAACGGAUAAAAGGUACUCCGGGGAUAACAGGCUGAUACCGCCCAAGAGUUCAUAUCGACGGCGGUGUUUGGCACCUCGAUGUCGGCUCAUCACAUCCUGGGGCUGAAGUAGGUCCCAAGGGUAUGGCUGUUCGCCAUUUAAAGUGGUACGCGAGCUGGGUUUAGAACGUCGUGAGACAGUUCGGUCCCUAUCUGCCGUGGGCGCUGGAGAAUUGAGGGGGGCUGCUCCUAGUACGAGAGGACCGGAGUGGACGCAUCACUGGUGUUCGGGUUGUCAUGCCAAUGGCAUUGCCCGGUAGCUAAAUGCGGAAGAGAUAAGUGCUGAAAGCAUCUAAGCACGAAACUUGCCCCGAGAUGAGUUCUCCCUGAGACUAUAAGUCUCCUGAAGGAACGUUGAAGACGACGACGUUGAUAGGUCGGGUGUGUAAGUGUAGCGAUACAUUGAGCUAACCGAUACUAAUGAACCGUGAGGCUUAACCUUACAACGCCGAAG